rnacentral:misc_RNA from 1 species
GAUGAAGAACGGAGCGAAAUGCGAUAAGUAAUGUGAAUUGCAGAAUUCAGUGAAUCAUCGAAUCUUUGAACGCACAUUGCGCCCCCUGGUAUUCCGGGGGGCAUGCCUGUCCGAGCGUCAUUACAACCCUCAAGCUCAGCUUGGUGUUGGGCCCCGCCGCCCCGGCGGGCCCUAAAGUCAGUGGCGGUGCCGUCCGGCUCCGAGCGUAGUAAUUCUUCUCGCUCUGGAGGUCCGGUCGUGUGCUCGCCAGCAACCCCCAAUUUUUUUCAGGUUGACCUCGGAUCAGGCAGGGAUACCCGCUGAACUUAAGCAUAUCAAUAAGCGGAGGA